rnacentral:rRNA from 1 species
GACGAACGCUGGCGGCGUGCUUAACACAUGCAAGUCGAACGGAAAGGCCCUGCUUGCAGGGUACUCGAGUGGCGAACGGGUGAGUAACACGUGGGUGAUCUGCCCUGCACUUCGGGAUAAGCCUGGGAAACUGGGUCUAAUACCGGAUAGGAGCCAUUUUUAGUGUGAUGGUUGGAAAGUUUUUUCGGUGUAGGAUGAGCUCGCGGCCUAUCAGCUUGUUGGUGGGGUAAUGGCCUACCAAGGCGGCGACGGGUAGCCGGCCUGAGAGGGUGGACGGCCACAUUGGGACUGAGAUACGGCCCAGACUCCUACGGGAGGCAGAAGUGGGGAAUAUUGCACAAUGGGAGCAAGCCUGAUGCAGCGACGCCGCGGGGGGGAUGACGGCCUUCGGGUUGUAAACUCCUUUCGCUAGGGACGAAGCUUUUUGUGACGGUACCUAGAUAAGAAGCACCGGCUAACUACGUG